CUAUUGAUACUCUAACUUCUGAAUUACCACAGGUGCACGCUGAAGGCGGAAAUGAAGCAUGAUCUGGCUUGCAUCUGGUCAUGAAGAAAUUGCUGACACGUUAGUUGCAGUCCACCUCCACCAACAGGGUGGAAAACAAAGGUCGCCAUUCCGAUUAGCUGCUAUCUCCCAGUUCAAGCACUUUUGUGUCUGGACACUGGUUCCUGUGGAUGGGGUGUUACAAGCUUUACUGUCUGAUAUAGAAGUGAUGAGCAUCCAUAAGGACACAUGCCAGAAAGGGAGUCUCUUUGGGAUGACAAACCCUCAUCACCUCAUGAGGAUACAAUGGUUGACGAAUGGUUCUCAAGCACAUCGAAACUUCCAACAAAUAAUUCAUGAAAAAGCCAGUCAGUGCUAGCACCAGGAAUUGAACGUGGACCGU